rnacentral:rRNA from 1 species
UACGUAGGGGGCAAGCGUUGUCCGGAUUAUUGGGCGUAAAGAGCGUGUAGGCGGCUUUACAGGUCCGUUGUGAAAACUCGAGGCUCAACCUCGAGACGCCGGUGGAAACCGUAAAGCUAGAGUCCGGAAGAGGAGAGUGGAAUUCCUGGUGUAGCGGUGAAAUGCGCAGAUAUCAGGAAGAACACCCGUGGCGAAGGCGGCUCUCUGGGACGGUACUGACGGUGAGACGCGAAAGCGUGGGGAGCGAACAGG